rnacentral:pre_miRNA from 1 species
CAAGUACUCCCUCCGUCCAAAAUUACUUGUCAUCAAAAUGGAUGUGUCUAGAACUAAAAUACAUCUAGAUACAUCCAUUUCAAUGACAAGUAUUUCCGGACGGAGGGAGUACAAG